UACAGAGGUCCCAAGCGUUGUUCGGAUUCACUGGGCGUAAAGGGCGCGUAGGCGGCUUGAUAAGUAGGGGGUGAAAUCUUGCGGCUCAACUGCAAGGCUGCCUCCUAAACUGACAGGCUUGAGCACAGUAGAGGCAGGUGGAAUUCCCGGUGUAGCGGUGGAAUGCGUAGAGAUCGGGAAGAACAUCGGUGGCGAAGGCAGCCUGCUGGGCUGUUGCUGACGCUGAGGCGCGACAGCGUGGGGAGCAAACAGG
rnacentral:rRNA from 1 species